GGAUGAACGCUGGCGGCGUGCCUAAUACAUGCAAGUCGAGCGAACAGACGAGGAGCUUGCUCCUCUGACGUUAGCGGCGGACGGGUGAGUAACACGUGGAUAACCUACCUAUAAGACUGGGAUAACUUCGGGAAACCGGAGCUAAUACCGGAUAAUAUAUUGAACCGCAUGGUUCAAUAGUGAAAGACGGUUUUGCUGUCACUUAUAGAUGGAUCCGCGCCGCAUUAGCUAGUUGGUAAGGUAACGGCUUACCAAGGCAACGAUGCGUAGCCGACCUGAGAGGGUGAUCGGCCACACUGGAACUGAGACACGGUCCAGACUCCGACGGGAGGCAGCAGUAGGGAAUCUUCCGCAAUGGGCGAAAGCCUGACGGAGCAACGCCGCGUGAGUGAUGAAGGUCUUCGGAUCGUAAAACUCUGUUAUUAGGGAAGAACAAAUGUGUAAGUAACUAUGCACGUCUUGACGGUACCUAAUCAGAAAGCCACGGCUAACUACGUG
rnacentral:rRNA from 1 species